rnacentral:rRNA from 1 species
AAUCUUACGAAAGUGAGGCUAAUACCCUAUAGUUGUCGAAUACUGGAAUGUAUCGACAGCAAAAGCUCCGGCGCCUUAGAGUUGGGCUGCGGCGUAUCAGGCUGUUGUGAGUGUAAAGUACUCACAAACCUAUAACGCGUAGGGGCCAUGAGAGUGGGAGCCUCGAGAUGCCUUCUGAGACAUGAAGGCAGGUCCUACGGGACGCAGCAGGGGCGAAACCUUUCCAAUUCGCUAACGCGUGAGAAGGGAAGUCUGAGUGAUUAUGUUUUACAUAAUCUUUUGCCAAGUCCAAACAGCUUGGCGAAUAAGUGGUGGGCAAGACAGGUGCCAGCCGCCGCGGUAAUACCUGCGCCACGAAUGGUCGUCACGAUUAUUUGGUCUAAAGGGAGCGUAGCCGGGCCAACAAGUCCUUGGUGAAAUCUGGCAGCUAACUGUCAGGCGUGCUGAGGAUACUGCUGGUCUUGGAACCGGGAGAGGGCGAUGGUAUUCCACGUGUAGGGGUUAAAUCCUUUAAUCCGUGGAGGACCACCAGUAGCGAAGGCGAUCGCCUAGAACGGGUUCGACGGUGAGGCUCGAAAGCGUGGGGAGCAAAUGGGAUUAGAUACAGAUCUAAUCCGAUGAUUACCAAAGAUGAUUGGUUCUGCUAGAAACCCCAGUAGUCCACGCUGUAAACGAUGCCCGCUUGGUGUUGCAUAUUCUACGCGAAUAUGCAGUGCCGGAGCGUAGGUGUUAAGCGGGCCACCUGGGGAGUACGACCGCAAGGUUGAAACUUAAU